rnacentral:rRNA from 1 species
GCCGCGGUAAUUCCAGCUUCAGCAGCAUCUAUUAAAGUUGCUGCGGUUAAAAGGCUCGCAGUUGAAUGUCUGUAUCGAGCGCAGGUCAGGUGGACGUUGGGGCGUGGAAGUACGGGCAGUUGGAUGUCCGGGGGGCCUCGUGCUCAACGGCUCCUUCGGCUUUUCCACACACCCCCGUCCCUUACAAGCCUCCUCGCUCGGGUACAUAACGGGAAUCGGUCAAACGGAGUGUGGUCUUGGGAGAGUUGGGGCGUGCGUGGCUUCGCGGUUGCGUGCGUUCUUUCUUUCUCGGGGCUGCGUCAAGCUCCAUCGGUUUCACGGUCACCUUGAGUAAAUCAGAGUGCUCAAAGCAGUCGUAGGGGCCUUGCGCCCUGUGAACAGUCUUGACGGACUGACUUGGUUUUGCAUGGCAUGUCGGAAGACGACGUCGUGUGCUGGCUCAGAGGAUAAAUCAGUGGUACAAGCCAGCCUCGACGUAAUGAUUAAAAGGGACGGUCGAGGGCAUUGGUAUUGCGAGGCGAGAGGUGAAAUUCUGUGACCCCCGCAAGACCUCCUGAAGCGAAAGCGUCUGCCAAGGACGUUUUCAUUAAUCAUGAACGAAAGUUAGAGGAUCGAAGGCGAUCAGAUACCGCCCUAGUUCUAACCCUAAACGAUGCCAACCAUCAAUCCGCGCGUAGCACCCUUCUUAACGGGCUCGGCGGGCAGCUCCCCACUCACGGGAAACCAGAGCCUCUGGGUUCCGGGGGGAGUCUGGUUGCAAAGCUGAAACUUAAAGGAAUUGACGGAAAGGCACCACCAGGCGUGGAGCCUGCGGCUUAAUUUGACCCAACACGGGCCAUCUCACCAGGCCAGCACUCUUGUACGAUUGACAGAUUGAGAGCUCUUUCUCGAUUCAGUGGAUGGUGGUGCAUGGCCGUUCUUAGUUGGUGGAGUGAUCUGUCUGGUUAAUUCCGAUAACGAACGAGACUCUCCCCUGCUAACUAGUCGGUUGGAUCUUGAUCAGUGGGUUGAGUGCCAAGUAACUCUCGCUGUGCGUGUUGUGUGCGUCGCGUUCCUCACGGUUCGUUGCGUGCUCUCAUGUGUGGUGUUGGAUGCCUUGGAUCACACUGCACCCCAAGUCCGCCGCUUUGCUAUAACUCUUCUUAGAGGGAUUCACGGCACUGAAGCCGUAAGAGACUGAGAGCAAUAACAGGUCUGUGAUGCCCUUAGAUGCUCUGGGCCGCACGCGCGCUACAAUGCCGGGCACAGCAGGUGUUUCUCCUGCUCCGACAGGAGCGGGUAACCCUCUGAAAGCCAGUGUUCUUGCAAGUGCUUCCUCCCUCGUGGAGUUGCACAGAGGCGUGCUUGGGCCUGGGACUUGCAAUUCUUUCCCACCAACGAGGAAUGCCUAGUAGCGGCGGGUCACUGAGCCCGCUGUGACUCAGUCCCUGCCCUUUGUACACACCGCCCGUCGCUACUACCGAUUGGGUGUACCAGUGAGAGCCUUGGACUGGCGUCCGUUGUUGCUCGCAAGAGUGACAAGCGGGUCCGACGGAAAGAGGUCCGAACUGGUGCACUUAGAGGAAGUAAAAGUCGUAACAAGGUUUCCGUAGGUGAACCUGCGGAAG